GUAUGGUGCAAUGGUGUAAGGUGUAUGGUGCUAUGGUGUAUGGUGUAAGGGGAAUGGUGUAAUGGUGUAUGAGGAAUGGUGUGAUCGUGUAACGUGCAAUCGGGAAUGGUGUGAAUGAAUGGUGUACGACAUUUCAUUGGUGGAAAUCGAAGUUCUUUUUAUUUUAUUUUUUCGGAUUGUAAACAUAAACAAUAAUAAUAAUCUUAAUUAAUAUUUUUCCAGAGUAGCAAAUUACUAUACCCGG
rnacentral:lncRNA from 1 species